ACGAACGCUGGCGGCGUGCUUAACACAUGCACGUCGAACGGAAAGGCCCUGCUUUUGUGGGGUGCUCGAGUGGCGAACGGGGGAGUAACACGUGAGUAACCUGCCCUUGACUUUGGGAUAACUUCAGGAAACUGGGGCUAAUACCGGAUAGGAGCUCCUGCUGCAUGGUGGGGGUUGGAAAGUUUCGGCGGUUGGGGAUGGACUCGCGGCUUAUCAGCUUGUUGGUGGGGUAGUGGCUUACCAAGGCUUUGCCGGGUAGCCGGCCUGAGAGGGUGACCGGCCACAUUGGGACUGAGAUACGGCGCAGACUCCUACGGGAGGCAGCAGUGGGGAAUAUUGCACAAUGGGCGGAAGCCUGAUGCAGCAACGCCGCGUGCGGGAUGACGGCCUUCGGGUUGUAAACCGCUUUCGCCUGUGACGAAGCGUGAGUGACGGUAAUGGGUAAAGAAGCACCGGCUAACUACGUG
rnacentral:rRNA from 1 species